GACGGAGGAUGCAAGUGUUAUCCGGAAUUAUUGGGCGUAAAGCGUCUGUAGGUGGUUUUAUAAGUCUAUUGUUAAAUCUUGAAGCUUAACUUCAAAAAAGCAAUAGAAACUAUUAGACUUGAGUAUGGUAGAGAUAAAAGGAAUUUCCAGUGAAGCGGUGAAAUGCGUAGAUAUUGGAAAGAACACCGAUGGCGAAGGCAUUUUAUUGGGCCAUAUCUGACACUCAGAGACGAAAGCUAGGGGAGCAAAUGGG
rnacentral:rRNA from 1 species